CUUCCGAAAUUAGUAAAUGCUGGAAUUGCGAAGAACAGGGCCACAAAUACCAGGAAUGCCUAAAACCUCGUCGUAUUUUCUGUUAUGGUUGUGGUGUACCUGAUACGUACAAGCCCAACUGUGCAAAGUGUAAAUCGACUACGGAAAACGUGUCCCAGGAUGUCCGUCGGUCAACAAGACGCGACAUCCGACGUUAGUCNNNNNNNNNNNNNNNNNNNNNNAACUUAAACCAGACAUAUCCAAAUCCUCCUCAGACAUACCACUCCCCCUACAUUUCAGACCAUACCAUAUUAGGCUUCGAGAAUAUCAGAAGCGCAGAGCCGAAAUUUUUGAUGCCAAACCUCCUUUAGCGGUGUUGUCUCGUUCAGCGGAACGAAUGCGUGAAUUUUGGAAGCGAAAGAGAAGCCUACGUCACGUCAUUGUUUCCUCGGUCGUUCACAAAGCGAGCGAUAUUCGUCCUUUUACUCAAGUUGAGAUACUCGGUGAGAGUUACCUUGCGCUAUUAGAUAGCGGAGCCAAUAAAAGCGUCAUCGGAGGAAAAUUAGCCGAUAAAAUUCUCUCGAAAAAUCUUCUGACAAAUAAAAUGAAAGGCGUUGUUCGUACUGC
rnacentral:lncRNA from 1 species